rnacentral:rRNA from 1 species
UACGGAGGGGGCUAGCGUUGUUCGGAAUUACUGGGCGUAAAGCGCGCGUAGGCGGCUUUGUAAGUCAGAGGUGAAAGCCCGGAGCUCAACUUCGGAAUAGCCUUUGAGACUGCAUCGCUUGAAUCCGGGAGAGGUGAGUGGAAUUCCGGAGUGUAGAGGUGAAAUUCGUAGAUAUUCGGAAGAACACCAGGUGGCGAAGGCGGCUCACUGGAC